AUUGAACGCUGGCGGCAGGCCUAACACAUGCAAGUCGAGCGGAUGAAGGGAGCUUGCUCCUGGAUUCAGCGGCGGACGGGUGAGUAAUGCCUAGGAAUCUGCCUGGUAGUGGGGGAUAACGUCCGGAAACGGGCGCUAAUACCGCAUACGCCCUGAGGGAGAAAGUGGGGGAUCUUCGGACCUCACGCUAUCAGAUGAGCCUAGGUCGGAUUAGCUAGUUGGUGGGGUAAAGGCCUACCAAGGCGACGAUCCGUAACUGGUCUGAGAGGAUGAUCAGUCACACUGGAACUGAGACACGGUCCAGACUCCUACGGGAGGCAGCAGUGGGGAAUAUUGGACAAAGGGCGAAAGCCUGAUCCAGCCAUGCCGCGUGUGUGAAGAAGGUCUUCGGAUUGUAAAGCACUUUAAGUUGGGAGGAAGGGCAGUAAGUUAAUACCCUGCUGUUUUGACGUUACCAACAGAAUAAGCACCGGCUAACUUCGUG
rnacentral:rRNA from 1 species